CCACUUUCAAGGCCUUAUCUUCGACCAUGUCACUAUGGGUCAAACUAUUUUCAACGGUCAUCUCUCAAUGCAAUUCUUGUUUCUAUGUCAAUGACACCCUUGUUUUCUAAUGUCCAAGUCCAUUCUUACAUUCACACAUCUCGAGGGUCCAAUCACACAUGUCCGUUUUGGUCCUAUCAUUCUCUAUGUUCAACUACGUUAGAAGCAUAAAAAUGAAGUCAAACCAAGUUCCACAUGUAGCUACCCUACUAUGCAUGAAUGGAUAUAUAUAUAUAUGCUCAAAAAUAGAGAAACAGACAUAGAGGGGAAUCCAACGAUUCCGGCGUGCACCCCCCACCUCUAUGAGUCGUGUGGGUGUAGAAUAUUAAGGCCCCCGCACUAUACGAAAGCCGAUUCCGCGCCCUAUAAUCAAAUAGUGCCAUAUUAGGCCUUUUUGUACAUGAACUAUACUCUAACAUUUUCGAAAUAUUAAACGAAGUUGUCCAACGUGUUUUGGGCACCCCCAAUUGGGUUUCUACGGGGUCAAUUUGUCCCCGAAAAAUCCUAGGGCAAAAACCCCAAAUUCAAGCCCUAAUCUUGCCAUUUAGGGUUUUCCCAUAAAUCGAUCCCAACCCUACGCAAAGAAUAGCACAGGAUCAUCUAAGAAGCAUCCUAAUAAGGUUUCUAGACCUUUGGUACCAACCCUAGGGCUCCAAACAUCAUCUCCAAGGAUUCACCAUGAGAGCACCUUGAGCUCUCAUGGGUUCCAUGGUAUUCAUGGCUCAAAAGAGCCAUCAAUGCCUCUAAGGAGCACAAAGCUCCCAUUUUCUAAACCAAAAUCCAAACCCUAGAGGAAAAACCUACAAAACUUACCUCUAGUCCAAGCUCCACCAAGAUUCUCCUUGUUGGAGAGCUCCUAGAACCUCCAAUGCCUCCAAAUCCUCCUCCUCUUCUCUUCUUCUCCUUCUUCUCCAAGUCCUAGAGCAUGGAUUCUAGAGAGAGAAAGAGAGGAAAUGGGAGAGAGAGGUAAAAAUGGCUGCGGAAGAGAGGGGUGAGUCAUAUAUAGUGUUGUAACAAUUGCACUUAAGCCCCUCCACUUGUUUCCUCUUGAACUGCCCAGACUGGGCAUUUUUCGCCUUCGGGGACCGGUCUCCCCGACCAGGGACCGGUUCCCGAACGGGGGUUUUCCAGGACUUAUUCAAAUUUUCGAGUUUUUUGGCUGUUGCGCAGCGAGGGACCGGUCUGCCCGUCGGGGACCGGUCUCCCGAGGACCGGUCUCAUCGCCAGGGACCGGAUGCCUCAGGAUUUCCUGGCAGGCUACGCGUACGGGGACCGGUCUCUCCUUCAGGGACCGGUCCCCGAGUGCUAAAAAUCUGGGACUUAGCCAGAUUUCCAGAUUUGCUCUCCGGGUCCCUUUUUGCUCCGUUUAUGAACUCCAAUGCACUUAGGGUCCACUUUAACUCGUUCAGUUACGCGUUCCGCUCGUUUUGACGGAACUCGGCACGACUUACGAGGGAUGUGGUAUGUUACAUUCUCCACCCCUUAAUUUAGUUUCGUCCGCGAAACUUCUAAGGUUGAAAUUUAAAUUUUAUACCUCAGUUUGGAUCCUCGAAGAGAUGAGGAUAACGCUCCCUCAUUUCGCUCUAGAGCUCCCACGUCUCUUCCCGGUCAUCGUGCUCGCACCAAUGAACUUUAAUAUACGGGAUCUCGCGGUUCCGAAGCUUUCGCACUUCCCGAUCGGCAACAUACGCCGGAAAUUCCUCAUAAGUCAUAUCCUCUUGAAGCUCUAUCGGUAUAAACGAGAGGAUAUGUUCCGGGUCGUACACAUACUUGCGGAGUUGAGAUACAUGGAAUACAUCAUGUACUCCCGCCAACCUCGGUGGUAAUGCCAACUUAUAGGCCACCGCUCCAACUCGCUCCAAAAUCUCAAAGGGUCCGAUAUAGCGGGGGCUCAAUUUCCCGCGAACACCGAACCGCUUAACUCCUCGCGUCGGCGAUACUUUUAAAAAUACACGGUCUCCUACCGCGAACUCAAUAUCUUUCCGCCGCUUGUCGGCAUAACUUUUGUGCCUUGAUUGCGCCGUUACUAAUCUUUGUCGGGCAAGGCGAACUUUUUCUUCCGCCUCUCGCACCACAUCCGGGCCAAGAACUACUUUCUCGCCCACGUCGCUCCAGUGUAUCGGCGAGCGACACUUCCUUCCAUACAGGGCCUCGAAUGGCGCCAUCGCAAUACUUUCCUGAUAACUAUUGUUAUAUGCGAACUCCGCCAUCGGUAAAUGAUCGUGCCAUCCGCCCUUAUAAUCAAGUACACACGCUCGAAGCAUGUCCUCAAGUAUUUGAAUCGUCCUUUUCGAUUGGCCAUCACUUUGAGGAUGAAAUGCCGUACUAAAGUCGAGCCGCGUGCCUAGUGCCUCCUGCAAACUCUUCCAGAAAUGAGAUGUGAACCUAGGGUCCCGGUCCGACACAAUAGAUACAGGAACCCCAUGAAGUCUCACCACCUCGUCAAUAUAGACUUGGGCUAACUUAUCGCCCGACCAAGUAGUGUGGAUCGGCAAAAAGUGUGCCGAUUUUGUCAACCGGUCCACCACUACCCAUAUCGCGUCAUGUCCACCUUGUGACUUAGCGCAGCCCCGUCACAAAGUCCAUUGCAAUGUUUUCCAUUUCCCACAUGGGUUAUUGGUAGGCUCUGCAAAUUUUUCGCAUAGGAAAUCGACGCUCCCCGGCCUUCAUUGUUUGGCAUGCUGAGCAUUGCGCCACGAACUCCCCUAUAUAAUGUAACGCACUAGAAACCCUUUGCAUUUAAUUGCGAGGUUCGAGUGUUUGUAAUGUAUUUGAGCUUUCUCCCACACUUGGUGAGGGUUGUAGAAUGUUUUUUCGACCUAAAAAGUUUCGAAAAUUGGAAUUGCUGACAAUCGCGUCCUGGAGAGUUUUUACUAUCGGGGACGCGGUCCGCUGGAAGGAGAGACCGGUCCCCCAGUCGAGCAGUGCUGCGGCAGCCGCUGAGCAACCGGUCCCUUGGCUGGCCGCCGAGACCGGUCCCCGACGCACGGUCUACGCAGUGAGAGACCGGUCCCACGCGGGAAGAGACCGGUAACCGAACGAUGUUUUUCAAGUAUUCGCACGAGAAGACGCGGUCCCUGCGGCCCGCGAGAGACCGGUCCUUCUGGCGAAAAUGCCCAGACCGGGCUGAUGCCAAUAUUGCGAUUUGAAGGGGCCCUCUUGCGGAUUUUGUUACAAUAGACGGGUCUAUAUGACCCCUCCCCCUCUGCUUCUCCUCAAUUUCUCUCUCUCACUCUCUUCCCACACCCUUGGUAGAGAAGAGAAGAAGGAGACCCGAGAGAAUGAAGGAAGAAGAAGAAGAUUUGAGAGCUUUUAGAGACUUGGAAGGGCAUCCUCCUCACCCUCUCUUCCUUCCUUGGUGCUGGGGCUUGGUCUUGGAGCUUGCAUAGGAGGAGAUCUUUCACCCUUGAGCUAGGAUUGGAAGCUUCUAAGAGGUUGGCUUGCUCAUUCCUUAUCUAUGAUCCUUGUUUGCGCUAAAGUUUUAUGAGAUGAAACCUCUAAAUUGAGAUACUUAGGGCUAUUUUUGGGCAUUUUUGAUGCUAGGACUGUUUGGACUCAAAUUAGUUGGUUUAGAACCUUCCUUGGGCUUGGAUUGGAAGGGUUUCUACGCUCUCUUUUUGGAGCUUUGAAGAGAUUUCUUCCCGCUUGAGGUGAGUUUUGGCCCUUUUUGCUUCUAGGUUACAUAUUUGGUUUUUUAUAUGACCGAUCGUUAAUGCCCGCGUAUCUCUUGCUCAUCCUUUUAGGGUAUUUUGGACUGGCGGGACAAACUUUGUUCGGCGAAAACGAGCUCUAACGUGAACGUUCGGUGGGUUUGACCAUAGCCCACAGCAAUGAGAAAUUCUCAUUAUGCUGAAACAUUAAUUAAGUAUCGCUUAAAGUGAUAAAGCAUGCAUAAUUCUUGUUAUAUGUAAUUUAUUGUGAUUUUAGAAAUGCUUAAAAGGCUUUAUGUUAUAUAUGAUUAAAAUUUUUGGACGAUCUAAAUUAUAAGAGUAGCUUGGUAGCUAAUAUUUAGCAUUUAGCAUUCCAUAUGAGACGUGGUUUCAUGCUGCCUAUAUGUGAAAUGAGAUUUGGACUUCCAUACAUUUAAACCUAAGUCUAUUGAGAAUGAAGGUUGACAAGAUUGCCAUUUAGUAAGGUAUGUGAACUAAGAGGCAUAAUGUCACAAAGCCGGUAUUGAGCCCUCGGACAUGGUGAGAACCUCAGUGGAUUAGGGCCAUGAGGGAUUUGGCAUACACAGUUGACAACAAAUUGCCUAGUGUCAUCAAGGGGCCACAGGCGUAGCAAAUGUUGAAACUUCACAUGUGUGACUUAAACUACGAUGCUUUGGGAUGCUAAGGUGACAUACGCAUGUUAGAGACAAUGAGGAUUCGGAUACCUUGAGGACUUGACUAUGCUUGCUUGCCAUUUGUGCUCAUUCGCAACAUGCUUGUGAGGUCGCUCCUACAAGCCGGCACUUCCGGAGUUAGCCUACGCGACUUAAUUUUCGCUCGUGCGGUAUUCGAGAAGCCCUACGGGUCGAGUGGCGACAGACAACAUUCCAAGACCGUAGGGAUGUUGGGCUACCCAGGCACUAGGGCGGCACAAGCCUGGACUACCUUUGUAGGUCCUUAAUUGAAAAUGGAAAUCGAUACAGGUGUUGAGAAAUGGUUUUAAGCACUACUGAGAAUAGGUUUUAGUAGUUAGUUACAUUUUAUAUGGCUUUUAGCAUAGUGGUGAGACAUGUAGUAAGCCUUGAUAGUCUCCGUUUGCAUUAAAGCAUACUUGUUGCCCAUGACAAAAUCUUAUCAAUAUGUUUCAUAAAGGUUAAUGACAUACUAUUUUGAAUCGUAUGACGUACACUCACCAUGACAUCGUUUAUUCUUGAGGUUUUAUAAUUUAGCAUUUAAUUAAUGCCUUUAAUAUCGCAGUCCAUUAUGUUAUUAUACUUGUACUAUACCCUCUUCUUUUUUGGGCCUAGUGGUGCUAUAGUGCUGAGGUCAGUAAUGCCCACUGGGAACUAUAAAUUAUAAGUUCUCACGCCCCUCUUUUUCUCGAUGUUUUCGAGCCUUCCACUCAGGGUGAGGCCAGGACCGCGGAAGGGAGUUGCUUCGAGCUAAACUUCCUCGCGGACGAUUCGCUAGGUGGUCUACGCUCCUCGUUGUGUUUUUAUUUUGGAGACGGUUGAGCAGUUCUACCAGUGUACUAGGUGACCACCAUUUUUGUAUUAGAGGCUGAUCCUGUAUAACUUAUUUUACUUUCAUGUAUUUAGUGUAUGUUCUAUUACUAUUAGUAUAGAAUGCAGAACUUUACUCGCUCUGAAUCCAUCAUUAGUUAGCUUGUUUAUUUCGCCCAUUUUUUUUUUUUAUUUGUCCAUCUUUUUCUUUUUACUUCCGCUUUUUUUGUGAACGCCCUUAUAUGUGUAGAUCAUAUGCGCGGUCUCGGGCACCGUUACGCGGAGGGCCUCCGCCCGGUCCCCCGGGGCCCGUGAGCAAUAUUCCCUCUUCAUGCCCGGCCACCAAUAAUGCAAUUUCAAAUCUUGAUACAUUUUGGUGCCGCCCGGGUGGAUGCUGUAAGGAGAUUGAUGCGCUUAUUGCAUAAUCGCCUUCCGAAGGUCAUCGUCCUUGGGUACGCACCACCGACCCCGAUAUCGUAGUGUGCCGUCGGUCUCAAUGCCAUAAUCAUCGACACUGCCAUUUUCAACUUUGCCCCGCACCUUUUGGAGGAACUUAUCCGACGAUUGUAGUUCUUUAAUUUUCUCCAACAAGGUUGGUUGCACAAUUAAGGUGGCAAGUGUUACCGGCACUCCCGGCGCCACAACUUCUAAUCCAAACCGUUGCAUCUCCCUUUGCAACGUCGGUUGAGGCGUAAUCUCCGCCACUAAAUUUUCUGCCGACUUUCUGCUUAGAGCAUCGGCUACAACGUUAGCUUUCCCGGGGUGGUAGAGAAUCGUGACGUCAUAAUCUUUAAGUAACUCUAACCACCGCCGCUGACGCAAAUUUAGCUCCUUUUGGGUGAACAAAUACUUGAGACUCUUAUGAUCGGUGUAGAUCUCAAAAUGUUCCCCAUACAGAUAAUGCCUCCACAAUUUUAGCGCGAAAACAACCGCCGCUAGCUUAAGAUCGUGAGUCCGGUAGUUCUUUUCAUAACUUUUCAAUUGGCGCGAAGCAUAAGCUAUGACUCGGCCGUUUUGCAUCAAGACACCCGAGACCAAUGUAUGAGGCAUCACUAUAUACGACAUAAUUUUCUCCCGGCGUCGGCAAAGCAAGCACCGGAGUAGAUGUCAACCUCGUCUUUAGCUCUUCAAAGCUCCAUUCACACUCGGGGCUCCAAACAAACUUCACCCCUUUGUGCGUAAGGCGCGUUAGUGGAGUUGUUAUCUUAGCAAAUCCCUCCACGAACCGCCGGUAAUAGCCCGCAAGUCCAAUGAAGCUACGUAUCUCCGCUACACUUGUCGGGCGAGGCCAAUCUUUAAUCGCCUCAACUUUCUUUGGGUCCACCGAAAUGCCAUCUCCGGAUACCACGUAGCCCAAGAAAGUAACCUCCGAAAGCCAAAACUCGCACUUCUUAAGCUUUGCGUAAAGUUUUUCCUUCCGGAGUAUGUCCAACACGAGCCUUAAAUGCUCUUCGUGUUCUUCCUCGGUCCGAGAAUAUACCAACACGUCGUCAAUGAAUACCACGACGCACCGGUCCAAUAGCGGACGGAAGACUCUAUUCAUCAAGUCCAUGAAUGCUGCUGGGGCAUUAGUAAGCCCAAACGGCAUUACCGUGAACUCAUAAUGGCCAUACCGCGUACGGUACGCCGUUUUGUGCACAUCUUUGGGCCGUAUCUUCAACUGAUGAUACCCCGACUGUAGAUCAAUCUUCGAGUACACUUUUGACCCUUGCAACUGAUCGAACAGGUCAUCAAUUCUUGGCAACGGGUAUUUAUUCUUGAUCGUCACUUUGUUCAACUCGCGAUAAUCAACGCAGAGUCGAAGUGUGCCGUCCUUUUUCUUAACAAAUAGCACCGGAGCUCCCCACGGGGACACGCUCGGCCGUACGAAGCCCUUGUCGAGCAAGUCUUGUAACUGAGCUUUCAACUCUUUCAAUUCCACCGGUGCCAUUCUGUACGGAGCCUUCGAAAUUGGCGCCGCCCCGGGAAUCAAGUCAAUCACGAACUCGACUUCCCGAUCUGGGGGCAAUCCCGGUAACUCCGCUGGGAAUACAUCCGGAUACUCCCGCACAACUCGAAUAUUCUCCAAUUCCGAGUACUCUUUUCGAGAGUCUACGAUGGUCGCCAAGUAGGCCUUACAACCGCCCUUGAUCAUCCUUUUCGCCCUUACCGUCGACACAGUGGCUGCAAAGCGUUUACCCUUGCACGCCCGGUAGGUAAACUCCUCUUGGUUGGGCUCACGGAACGUGAUCACCCUUCUUUCACAAUCUAUAACCGCGUAAUACUUGGAGAGCCAAUUGAUCCCCAAGAUUACCUCGAAUCCCCACAUUUCUUUCAACACUAGAAGGUCGAUCGGCAUAAUCCAAUCGCCUAUUUGCACUGGGCAGUCCAAACACUCAUCGUAAACGUCGAUCGAGUGUUCAGGAGUGUUCACCGACCAAUACUCCUCGUUAUGAGUGAUCUCUAUAUCAUGAGCUUGUGCGAAUGAUGCUAAUAUGAAUGAAUGAGAUGCACCCGUAUCGAAUAUAGCUCUAGCCCUAGUGCCUCUGAUCAGAAUAAUACCUGCCACGACGUCGUCGGGAACGAUGAUUGGUGGCUCCUCCACCUGAGUGGCAAAAACCCGCCCACUAGGUGCUCGAGAAGCCUCCGGCUGACGUGACGCCGUCGAUCGUCCAGCAGAUGUUGCGGGUGGCAGUCCCGCCAACUGUCGCUGCGUGUACUGUACUGAGGCUGAUGACGGAGCUGGGGAUACGCCGCCCGGGCACUCUCGACUCAUGUGCCCCGGUUGGCCACAUUGGUAACACCGCCCCUCCCGCUGUGGGCAGCUGGUGGCUCUAUGCUCCCCGCCGCAUAUCACACACGGGUAGGUAAUCUGACCCCGUGUCUGACUCCUACCUCCCCGCCAUUGUGAUCGUUGUGGUCGCGGGGGUCGCUUAGAACUCGAUUGCCCCGCCGACCCACCAGCAGGUCGCUUCUUAGUCUUAUCCCUUUCCUUAUCCUUCUCAAAUGCCUCGCGCUCGUCCCGCGCAAUGGCAUUUCCGCGCUCCACCCAAAGCGCGCGGUCAAGAACCUCCUCAUAGGUCUUCAAGCGGAAUGCAUGAAUGACCUUGAAAAUCUCGGGUCGCAACCCGCGCUCAAAUACCUCCGCUCGGUCCCUAUCACCAUGGACCAAGUCCGGCACACAGUUGAUCAUGUGCGUGAACUCCCUCUCGUACUCCCGUACCGUUCGGCUUCCUUGCCUUAGCUUCCGAAAAUCCUCCUUGAUUUUCCUUUUGUCGCUCUCGGGGAAAUACUCCAUGAGCAGCAUCUCCCGAAACGCCUCCCAAGGAAUAUAGGCGUGUCCUAGCGAGCGACUUUUCCUCGCUUGAUUCCACCACAGUCGAGCCGACCCAUCAAAACAAUGAGCCGCCAAAUGAACUUUAUCCUUCUCGAGGGUGUAGAUAUCCUCGAAUAAGGCCUCCAUCGCGGCGAGCCAACUCUCCGUCGUCCACGGAUCCUUCACGUCACCGUUGAAGGUUGGAGGGUUGAACCGCUUAAAUGCCGUCAGCGCCGCUAAUGUGCGCUCCUGCUCGGCCUCAAGCACAUCGGAAAUAGGGGCCGAUGAACCCGAUGCCGCCGGAGGAACAGCCGUCACGGGCGCUGCCGCCAUUGCAGGAGGUGGCGCUACAGGAGCGGCCGGUGCAAGCGGAUCCCUCGGCACAGAUGCCGCCGCUGCCUGUUGCGCCAUCAUCUCAUGGAGCUGCCCGAUCUGCUCCCCUUGAAGCCGCAUAGCCCCGGCCAAAGCCGCUACCUGGGCUCGCAGCUCACUCACGCCGUCCGACCCCGACUGCUCGGGCUCCUCCCGAGGCUCCGCCGGUGUGGACCUCGUAACUCUCCUUGGCGGUGCCAUCGCGUCCUGAAACGCAACGUACACAAUUAUUAGUGCUCGAUGCACGUGACCCUUACACGUGUCACCUAACUACCCAAUUAAGCGAAAGCACAAGCCUAAUUAUUCCUACUCUCGGUGUUGUGUGGUCGGCCGCCCCACAAAGUCCCUUAAGUAGACAAUAAUUAAGCCUUAUAAUCCAUCUCUACUUCCUUCUAGAGAAGUGUUACAGUUAACCCAAUCACUCGCUUUCGCAUAAACCAAGUCCACGUCAAACGUUUUCCUAAAUCCUUAGGGUCUCCAAACCUAUGGUUCCUAGGUCAUUCCUAGACUUUUGCUUUCAACUUCUCUCUGAUACCAUUAUAUCUGUCACGCCCCAAUCCCCGCCAAUUUGGUCGGGUUCGGGUCACGUCAACAGACGCCGAACGGACAGAGCCUCCCCUGUCCGCCCAAGGCUAUAACAUCAUGUAUAAUUAGGCAAUUAACAAGAGAAUUGCAUGUAUAAUACAAGGCUUGCUCGAGGGCAAGCAACAACGGAAGCGAAAGCUCUAAGCUAAAUAUGAAUCAUACAUGAUAUUUGAUUUCAUUUAAACCAAAUUCAAGUAAACAAAACCAUUACAUUCCAUUCAUAUCUCUUUACAUUUAGUCAUCCACCAAAUACAUGAUUGUUUUCACUUUACAUACCUAAUUCAACAAAAAUAAAGUUGAUACAUGUAUAACAAAAGGGAAUGACUACAAAAUGCAUAAAGUCCCCGGUGGCCGCUACCUACGGCGCCAAACCCUUGCCUCGGUCCUCCGCCGCCCCGCUCGUGCUAGGACCUGUAGGGUUGGUGGUGUGAGAACUACAACGAAGUUCCCAGUGGGCUCGGCAUCCGAUCUCGCCGACUUACCCACUAGGUCUAUCCAGGCAUAAGUAUUUCAAAGGAAGAAGAGUAACCAUUACUAAUGCCACUAAUAUUAUGCCUGCAGGAAAGAGUCAGUAGAUAUACAAUUUCAAUGCGAAAGUGAAAGUGCAUGCAUGCUCCAAUCAUAAUCAAACUUUGGCUCAUACCCAUUCUUACCGGUUAACUCUGUUAACCCCAAUAACUCACAACCCAUAAUCCCUUAAUAACGGGGGACUCGAACCUCCCUGGGGACCGUCAACUGGUAGGACUUUACCACGCCCAGUGGUGACCAACUCCGGAGCGCACCGCUCGAGGGGGAGCGACCUCCCUCAAGCCACGACGAAAGGUGAGUAUCGAUCUAAUCCUCAACUUGAGGACUCAUAGCCAUUAGUCACAAUGCCAAAUCACGAUAGGUCUCUACCUAUUUAUUCUUGCCACUCUCAAGGCUUUAUUUUCGACCAUGUCAUUACGGGUCAAACUAUAUUCAACGGUCAUCUCUCAAUGCAAUUCUUGUUUCUAUGUCAAUGACACCCUUGUUUACUAAUUGUCCAAGUCCAUCCUCACAUUCACACAACUUGAGGGUCCAAUCACACAUGUCCAUUUUGGUUGUAUCAUUCUCUAUGUUCAUCUACGUUAGAAGCAUACAAAUGAAGCCACACCAAGUUCCACAUGUAAUUACCCUACUAUGCAUGAAUGGAUAUAUGUAUAUGCUCAAUAAUAGGAAAAAUAGACAUAGAGGGGAAUCCAACGAUUCCGGCGUGCACCCCCC
rnacentral:lncRNA from 1 species